rfam:Schistosoma mattheei strain Denwood, Zambia genome assembly, scaffold: SMTD_scaffold0000190
GCACUGCUGAGGAGUCCCAUACUAGGACGAAAUGGUCGUCCGGUGC